CAGGGAAAGAUUUAUCGGUGUAGGAUGGAUCCGCGUCCGAUUAGCUAGUUGGAGGGGUAACGGCCCACCAAGGCGACGAUCGGUAGCCGGCCUGAGAGGGCGACCGGCCACAUUGGGACUGAGACACGGCCCAGACUCCUGCGGGAGGCAGCAGUGGGGAAUAUUGCACAAUGGGGGAAACCCUGAUGCAGCGACGCCGCGUGAGUGAAGAAGUAUCUCGGUACGUAAAGCUCUAUCAGCAGGGAAGAUAAUGACGGUACCUGACCAAGAAGCCCCGGCUAACUACGUGCCAGCAGCCGCGGUAAUACGUAGGGGGCAAGCGUUAUCCGGAUUUACUGGGUGUAAAGGGAGCGUAGACGGCAGCACAAGUCUGGAGUGAAAUUCCCGGGGCUUAACCCCGGAACUGCUUUGGAAACUGUGCGGCUGGAGUGCAGGAGGGGUAAGCGGAAUUCCUAGUGUAGCGGUGAAAUGCGUAGAUAUUAGGAGGAACACCGGUGGCGAAGGCGGCUUACUGGACUGUAACUGA
rnacentral:rRNA from 1 species